CUACGGUACUUAUUAGAUUAUUAAACAGCCAGCGCACUUACCUUAUCAGGAGCGAUCAGAUUGAAGUGUUCCCACAUGUCCGAACGACCUCUCUUCCUGGCUGGCUCCAUAAUUAUCCAAAACGCAAACGCAAUACAAUAGCAGCAACAACAACAACACUCCUACUACAACAACCCACAAAUAGUGCAUUGUUUAGAGCGGUUAUAAAGUGUUGAAGGCGCUCAAAUUCAAAACUGUCUCAACCUGUCACCUGUGAGAAUCGAGACGAGGCGGUGCCAUUCAUUCACCUGAUUGGACCGCGAACCAGUCAGGUGAUUCAUUCCGGCAACGAAGCAGUUUCUGCUUCGGACGUCACAUGUCACGUGUUUUUUUUCGCACCAAAGCAAGCUUCGAAGCAGUGCUUCUAUGGAAUUGUAGUCCAGGGUUUGAAGCACGUAUCGAAGCUUCAGUGUCGCGCUGCCAUCACUAGUUAACUGUUCAGUUACUCCUUUUUUGUUGUAUAUACUUUUUUCUAUUUUUGUGAAGCUGGAAGCACUUGUGAAUAAAUUUAUGCCGCUCUGGUCAGCUUCUCAACAAGCUGAUUCCUGCUUUCAUCUCCAGUAGACUCACUAUGCUACUGGUCUUCAGAUCACUAAAUGGUUUAAGUCCAGAGUACAUGAAUGACAUGUUGGUAGAGUAUAAACCCAGUAGGCCUCUGAGGUCAGUUCAGAUAGUGGCGCACAGAGUUCAAACUGGACAGGGUGAAGCAGCAUUUAGCUGUUAUGCUGCACACAAUAAACUGCCAGCAGAGCUGAAAUCAGCCCCACCUGUAACCAUUUUUAAAUCCAGGUUAAAAAUGUUUCCUUUCUCAUGUGCUUAUAAUUGAGCUCUUUUAAAGCGCUCUUUUAAAGUUUUAGUCUUUCAUUUGCACUUUAUGUCCUUUUACUGAUUGUAAUACAAAUCAAUAUUAUAUAUAUUUAGUCUGUUUUAUUUUAAAUUCUCUCUUUUGGUUUUCUCAGAGGUAGAUAUAAAGAAUAAAAGUAAGAAGUAAUAUAAAUAUAAACACUACAUACAAGAACAAGCAUGAAAUACAACAACACAGAUCUGCUACAAUGUUCACACUGAUCAGCUGAUUGAAGGUCCACACCUAUGUAAUUAGUCUGGUUUUAAAUUAAUUUCCGGUAACAUAGUGGCAGAAACGUGGAAGUUCCUAUAAUCCUCUUCAGAUUAAAAGCAUCACAUUCAUUCACGAAUGGAAUAUUUUUAUUGUGAAGGAGGAUAAACAGGAAAUGGCGUCAUUACGUCUAACAAUUGACUGUUGAUGGUAGCGGUGGGGACCGCUAAAGUCAGGACAGGUGUGUGUUCGCGCUGAAUCAGCGGUAUGUACACCUUUCCUGACACCAGCGGUCCCCACCGCUACCGUCCCCCCUCAUUCCCGCCACCUGGUGAUGACGUUGAAUGACCCGCCCCCUCACCGUCAGUCGGAGCAUCUCGAACAGACAGGUAGACGGAGAGGAGAGACAUUAGCGACUCGACAGCGGAAAAAGAGAUGAAAACUACCACGGACAUGUGAACCGUCGGAGAGUGCGGUGCUUCGGAGAAAUGGAGGACGGCCCGACAUGCACAUCAGCUGGUGGCAGCUCGAAAGGCGCAG